CUUUUGUAUCAUUGUAAUGUGUUUCAUGGAGCGAUUUAGUACAAUAAUAGCGUCAGUUUACGCAAGACGUUCUAUAAUUUAGGUCAAGAAUAAUCAAAAAAAAUUUACGCACUGUAAUGUUCCAUAGUCUGAUUGUAAAACACCUAUAUCACUUAAUUUAUCUUGACAUCUAUUUGAUUACUUAGUUGAUAGUAAUUAUUGAGGCAAUAUAAUUAAUAUCGCAAUUACUUUAGUGUGUCAGUAAUCUAAUUGCCAAUAAGAGUUACUUUGAAACAAAAGUGGAACUCGGCAGGACACUUAUCCAGAUAUAAGCAUGAGAGAUGGACUUACCGAACUACUAAAUGGCUGGGCCCAAAGGGUAAACGAAAUGUGGGAAGACAGAAGAAAAGAUGGGUCCCUGAUAUAAUAAGGACUGCUGGAGCAAGAUGGAUGCAUUUGGCUAAGGGCAGGGAACAGUGGAAAAGGAUGGAGGAUGCUUUUACCCAAGAUGGGGCCACAUAACAACGAAAAAAGAAGAAAAAACUAGUUUACAAUCGGACAUAUUGCAUUGUUAAGUGCAAAUAAAGGUAUAAUAAUAAUAAUACGCUAGAA